rnacentral:lncRNA from 1 species
GACACUUGAAAAUUAGGUGUACAUGUAUUCUUUCGUUGAACUCUCUGUCUUUUCUUGAUGGCUCAAUGGGGGCAAGUCCUUCGUGUCAAAUUGAGGUCUUUGAUGGAAUGAUUGUCAUUUCUUUAAUAAGAGGCUUAAUAUUCAAAGUUGAAGGCUCCAAUUCUAAGUCAAGUUGAAUUUAUCAAGUCUAUUACAUCAUCAAUUUGAAGUAUCCAAGCCCGCUAGGUCUUAAAGUUACAAUAUUCAAGUCCGCCAAGUCUUCAAAUCCAUAAAGUAUUAAAAAUAACUCACUUAUUAUAAACUGCAUAAUGACUUGAUCCUCUUCACCGAGAUUGGUAUCUUCGAGACAAUUAUAGUCUUUAGCAGGCUGCAAAAUUUUCAAGUUGAAUCAUCAAGUUAAAGUCUUCAAAUCCACUAAGUCUUCAAGUUGAAGUCUUCAAAUCUGUCAAGUCUUCAAGUAGAAGCCUUCAAGUCUUCCAUGCCUUCAAGUUGAAAUCUGCAAGUUAAAUUCUUCCGAGCACCAAGUCUUCAAUUGAAAGCCAAUAAGAAGCCCCCAUAAUAGUCUUGAAAUCUUCAAAUUGAUAUAACCUUCAAUUCUUUAGUUGGAAGUUUCAGUAUAUCUCCAAGUGUAUGGUAAAAACCUUUGAUAUAGCCUGCGCCAUCUUUAAAUAUUUAUAUCUUGAAUUCUUUGAAGGAAAGUUAUAAUAUAUCUCAAAUCUCCAACUAAAAGUAUUUAAAAUGUUGGGUUGCAUGACUUGAUUUAUGUUGCAAAAAAAAUCUUUGGAAGUGAUUUCUUCUUCUACCUGCAAAAAAAAAGGAGAAAUAUAUCUAUAUAAAGGAGAUCAUAAAAUUACAUGUAAAGAUUGAAAUUGUAGAGAUAUUCUUGGUGGUCAGUUUUUUUCAUGCUUCAUACAAUCUCUUAUUCAUGCAUCUCGAAAUGAGGACAAGUUCCCGUUCCUUUGCACUAAAAGGUCAAAUCUUUUGGCGGUAAAGUAAAAUCUGCAAGUUAGACUCUAUAAUGAUCUUCACUGGUCUUCGCCUUAGAUAAAAUAUAAUCUUCAGCUUAGACGGUGUAAUGGUCUUAGCCUCAGACAAAGUAAAGUGUUCAGCUUAGACGGUUGUCUUCGCCUUUGCAAAAUAUAGUGUUCAGCUUAGCCGGUGUAAUAGACUUUGCCUCGUAUAAAGUAAAGUCUUUGACUCGGACGGUGUAAUGGUCUUCAUCUCAGAUAAAGAAAAUUUUUGUCUCAGACGGUGUAAUGAUCUUUACCUCAGACAAAAUAAAAUCUUUGGCUCAGACGGUGUAAUGGUCUUCGCCUCAUAUGAAGAAAAGUCAAAUUUGUAAAUAAAGUAAGAUCUUUAGCUUAGACGGUGUAAUGGUCUUCACUUCAGACAAUAAAUCUUUGGCUUAGACGGUGUAAUGAUCUUUGCUUAAGAUAAACUAAAAUCUUUGGCUUAGACGGUGUAAUGAUCUAUGCCUCAGAUAAAAUGAAGUUAGAUCUUCAAACAAGAUAAAGUCAUUAGCUUAGACGGUGUAAUGGUCUUCGUUUAAGACAAAAUAAAAUAUUUGGCUCAAAUGGUGUAAUGGUUUUCGCUUUAGACAAAAUAAAGUCUUCGGCUUAGACAAUGUAAUGGUCUUCGCCUCAGACAAAGUAAAAUCUUUGGCUCAGACAGUAUAAUGGUCUUCGCCUCAGAUAAAGUAAAGUCAAAUCUUUAAAUAAAGUAAGAUCUUUAGCUCAGACAGUGUAAUAGUCUUCGCUUCAGACAAAAUAAAUCUUUGGCUCAAACGGUGUAAUGGUCUUCGCCUCAAAUAAAUGUAAAAUCGUUGGCUUAGUCGGUGUAAUGGUCUUUGCCACAAAUAAAGAAAGUUAAAUUUUCAAAUAAAAUGAAGUCUUCGGCCAAGACAGUAUAAUGGUCUUCGCUUCAGACAAAAUAAAUCUUUGGCUCAGACGGUGUAAUGGUCUUCGCCUCAGAUAAAAAAAAAAAUCUUUGGCUUAGACGGUGUAAUGGUCUUUGCCACAAAUAAAAAAAAUCAAAUUUUUAAAUAAAAUGAAGUCUUUGGCCAAGACGGUAUAAUGGUCUUCGCCUCAAAUAAAAUAAAGUGUUUGGAUUAAAUAGUGUAAUAGCCUAAGCCUCGGACAAAGUAAGGUCCUCGCCUAGCACAACAUAAUGAAUUUUCCUCAACUAGAAUGAUUCCUUCGCCAGAAUGAGUAAAAUUCGGAGAAAGUAAAUCCUAAAACCACUUUAACAUUGGCUUCUCUCCAAGAAAUUCUAGUUACUUCAUAUUUGCUUCUCUUGACCUCUGGCCAAAAAGGGAGAUCUAGGUAAAAAAAAAUUAAAGUACCUGCUUCCGUUUGAAUGAGAAAAGUUUAGCGGCAAUAUAAGAUGUGCUCUAGAGACCUGCAAAAGAAGAGUCUUGUUUUAUCAUCACCAAAAUGCUUCUACGAAAUAAUGUAAGAAAAGAAGCAAUACAUGGAAGCACAUGGUGUCUAAUGCAAUAUAAUUUCAGGUGAGGGCAUAAGAUGGUUAAAAAAAACCUUGUUUCAAAGACAAAAACAGUAGCAUUUUGCUCGACAUCAAAACUCUUAUACUACUUUUGUAAUGUUAAACCUUCAUUUGGCAGUAUGAGGCAUAUGGUCCGCAUGAAUUAUUUUGUCAAUUUUUAAGCAAUUUUUGAAUGUUGCAAAAAAGAAAAGAGCAACUUACCUCAAAGAAUGGUACUUCUCCAGCCAAACUGUUACGAGUCAAGACUUUAUCGGAGUUCAGAUAAUACGUCUAACAAUGAUAUUGUUCCCUAUUUAUAGAAUGAGCUGACAGUGGUUGACUCCUAC